GCUCAACGGAUAAAAGGUACUCCGGGGAUAACAGGCUUAUCGCGCCCAAGAGUUCACAUCGACGGCGCGGUUUGGCACCUCGAUGUCGGCUCAUCGCAUCCUGGGGCUGGAGCAGGUCCCAAGGGUUUGGCUGUUCGCCAAUUAAAGCGGUACGUGAGCUGGGUUUAGAACGUCGUGAGACAGUUCGGUCCCUAUCUUUCGUGGGCGCAGGAUAUUUGAGAGGAUCUUUCCCUAGUACGAGAGGACCGGGAUGGACGAACCUCUGGUGUUCCAGUUGUCGCGCCAGCGGCAUAGCUGGGUAGCUACGUUCGGAAUGGAUAACCGCUGAAAGCAUCUAAGUGGGAAGCCAACCUCAAGAUAAGAUAUCCCCAUUUUGUGGAGACACAAGAUCUGAAGACCCCUUGUAGACGACAAGGUUGAUAGGCCAGGUGUGUAAGUACAGUAAUGUAUUUAGCUAACUGGUACUAAUCGGUCGUGAGGCUUGGCCAU
rnacentral:ncRNA from 1 species